rnacentral:rRNA from 1 species
CUGUCUCCUUCCUCCAAUCAAUGAAAUUGAUCUUCUCGUGAAGAAGCGAGAAUAUUAUUAUUAGACGAGAAGACCCCAUGGAGCUUUAAACUUAUUACCAAUUACUUAACCGCUAAACCAUAAUAUGUAGUAAAAAUGUUCUUAAUAGUUUUCGGCUGGGGUGGCCCUGGAGUAAAAUAAACCCUCCAGAAUGAACGGAAUAAGACCCUAAUCUAAGAAUUACAGCUCAAAGAAUCAAAAAACUGACAUUAUUGAUCCAAUUAAUUGAUUAACGAAACAAGUUACCCUGGGGAUAACAGCGCAAUCCAUUUUGAGAGCCCCUAUCAACAAAUGGGUUUACGACCUCGAUGUUGGAUCGGGGUAUCCCGGUGGCGCAGCCGCUACUAAUGGUUCGUUUGUUCAACGAUUAACAACCCCACGUGAUCUGAGUUCAAACMNGANC